ensembl:lincRNA
GUUUUGUACAGUUACCUUUAAAAUAAGGAAGAGACACAGUCUCACAGCAAGCUUCCUGUUCCUCCAAUUCUUACUAGAUCAGGAUCAAUAGAGGUGACUUGGAAAUAAAGGAAAGAAGACAGACAUCUGUGGAAGCAGAAUCGUUCUUUUAACAGAACAACUGAAGGCCACAGUCUCUCUGCAGAAGUGGAGACUGUACGUGCAUGGUGUGGAAAAGGGGGAACUUUGGAGGUGGAAGAGUCCAACUGCAGACCAGUUCCCCUGUAGUCUGGAAGUGGUGGAAGCCAGGGGGUUUGUCGGAACUGCCACCAGGGCCUCAGGAGUGUCUGGUGUGUUGGAUACCUCCCCCGAGUUCAGAUCCAGCAAGCAGAUCGCUGGCAUCAGAUGACUCUGAGCAGUGAUGCUGAACGGGAACCAGAAAUAGCUCCUGGCCUACCUGCCCUGAUGGAUGGAGGCAGAACUGCCACCAGAGUCUUGGUGUGUCAGAUCCCGCCGCCGAAUUCAGAUUGCAUUACAGUUUUUUAAGGUAUGAUUCCUUAUGACUUUCAGACAUCCUUAUUGUUAUCUCCUGUCUCUUUCCCAAUUAGACCCCCACUUUGAUCAGUUCAUUUGUACUCUGCUAUUCUAUUGGUCCCUUACUCCUACAUCUCAGCAAUGGUCCCUGUACUUUACUGGUUUCUGUGGUUACUCUGGACUGUGUACUCACAUCUGAAGAUUGGGAGCUAGGAGCCUCUAAUGAGAGACAUUUGCUUUGCUGGGUCUGGGUUACCUCAUUCACUCAAUAUGAUCUUUUCUAGAUCUAUCCAUUUACCUGCAAACUCCAUGAUUUCAUUUUUCCUUUACAGCUGAAAAAUAUUCCAUAGUGUCUUAUUCAGGGUUACUACUGCUGCAACAAAACACCAUGACCAAAAAGCAAGUUGGGGUUUAUUUAGCUUAUACUUCAGUAUCACUGCUCUUGUCAAAGGAAGUCUGGACAGGAAGUCCAACAGAGUGGAAACCUGGAGUCAGGAGCUGAUGCAGGGAAUAUGGAGGGUGCUGCUCACUGGCUUGCUCCCCAUGGCUUGCUCAGCCUGCUUUUUUAUAGAACCCAGGACCCCCAGCCCAGGGAUGGCACCACUGAAAAUGUUCUGGACCUCUAUCAGUCACUAAGACAAUGCUCUACAGGGCGACCCCCACCCUGAUUUUAUGGGGACAUUUCUCAAUCAAGUUUCUUCUUCUCAGAUGACUAUCAUUUGUCGAAAGUUGACAUAAGACUAACCAGCACACAUAGUGUAUGUGAUAAAGCACACAAGGCCUCAGACAUAGACCAAGAACUGUAGACAAGUAAGGAAUGCUGAGAGCAGGAGAAAUAUUCUUCCCUAGGGAGGAACAUGCCAGUUGGUAUCCAACAGCAAAUGGUCAACUCUGAAAACAUACAUACAAACAUACAUUGUACAGACUAAGAAUGUUAUAAUUGUAUAUUUAGGAACACAUGCAUGCACGUGUGUGUGCAUGGGUGAGCACACACACACACACACACACACACACACACACACACACACAGCAAUUAAAUGAGGCCAUGAGUUUGAAUGAGAGCAAGGCAGGGAUACAUGAUGAAAGGGCAAGAAAGAGAAGAGAAAUGAAGUAAUUAUAACAUAAUCUUAAAAAAUAUAAAAAUGUAAAAUCCAAUGGGAAAAUGAGUGAGUAAAACUGACACUGUUGUUCUUACAUUCCCCUCUGUAGUGACCAGGGCUGAUUAUUUCUUUGUGUAGUUUCACAUUUCUUUGCUACUUGUUUUCCUUUUCAUGGCUCAUCAGUGUCUUCAUUCCCCACUGUUUCAAAUGCUCUUUCACCUCCUGUAGGCUUAUAAGAGGUUCACUUUAUCCCACUAGCCACUGGCUUUGGCUGCCUUCCAAGGUUCCUGGUCACAGGUUGCUAUCUCUCCAAAAGUAAAGGAAGAUGACCCAUGUGAAGGCAAAUGACUCUAAAAACAUCAUAUUUCCAGUCUUAUUUCCAGGAGGCUGAAACAGUGACUUCUAGAAUGUCUAUUCAUCUCUAGUCAAUUGCACAUAGUAACAGUUAAUUAAAGCUCUUGUCCCAAUGAGCAGACACCAGACUCCAAUGGGGAGGCUGUAAAACACAAGGUAGACUCAGUAAUGGGCUUCUGGUAGGAGUAGACCACCAGGGCUAACCAUUAACACCACACUAUCCAGGGCCUUUGUUAAAGGUCUCAUCAACUGUGAAUUAGAGUGUUGAGCCACACGUAACUUUUUGUGGCAUGGUGUCACCAUUAAUCAUGUUCAAUAAUACUGAGAAAAGACAGAAGUGAGCCAAAGGUUGAAGGUUUAAGGUUUCUCAGAAUCAAGCUUGCUUUAAUGAUAUUCAAAAGUAGAUGAUGUAUUAUGGUAACUAGUCUUUGGUAUUAGUCCAACUCCUUGGGUGAUCCCAGGGGCUAGAUAGCUGUCCAGAUGCCGAGUUUUCUGGAAAACAGUGCUUAGCAUUCAGUGAGAGUCUGGGGAGAAGUCAUAGACGGCACAUCUUAUAUUUUUAAAGCUCUAAAUAGAGACCAAAUGAGAAGUAGAGGUCUAAGAUUUCCACAUAAAAUCCAAAAGUUGCAUUAGGCGGAGGAGAGAGGCCAUGUUUCCUAGCAGUUUGGGACUUCCUUAAAGUUCUGUAGUACUGGAAGCUGACUUAAGUGGGGGAGUCAACUUUGGAGGCCAGGACACACAGCAAGCCUGGAGCUACGGGGACUUCUGGCUUACAGGGGCUUUCCAACAUCACCACCCCAGUUACCAUUAUUAUCACAAACAGCAGCAAUGCUCUCAUCUACUUGAACUUGUGUGUACGAGGCACUGUCCUAGGUGUUGUUGUUGUUGUUGUUUUUGUUUUUUCUUCAGUCAUUAACAUCUGUAGUUGAAUUUUUCAGAGUAGUCUUUCAUGGUAGGCUGUGUCACCCCUACUCUACAAGAAAGCUGUAACCCAUAUCCCUGCAGCAUGGAAGACAAACGAGCCCCGGAGUCAAGGUUGCCCAGGGAGUGUGUUCUUGCUGCCUUUUCACGGCUCCUGUAAAGCCACUCAGGGGGCCUGCUCCUCCAUGGAAAUUUUGGCCCCAAGAAUUUUCUGGUCUCUCCUAGAAAAUAAAAAUAGUUCUCCAGAUACUU